CAAAAGCUCAAAUUUGAAAUCUAGCACCUUCGGUGUUCGAGUUGUAAUUUGAAGAUGGUAACCUUGGGUUUGGCUCUUGUCUAUGUUCCUUGGAACAGGACGUCAUAGAGGGUGAGAAUCCCGUCUGAUGAGAUGCCCAUUCCUAUGUAAGGUGCUAUCGAAGAGUCGAGUUGUUUGGGAAUGCAGCUCUAAGUGGGUGGUAAAUUCCAUCUAAAGCUAAAUAUUGGCGAGAGACCGAUAGCGAACAAGUACAGUGAUGGAAAGAUGAAAAGAACUUUGAAAAGAGAGUGAAAAAGUACGUGAAAUUGUUGAAAGGGAAGGGCAUUAGAUCAGACUUGGUGUUUUACGAUUAUCUUCUCUUCUUGAGUUGUGCACUCGUAUUUCACUGGGCCAGCAUCGAUUCGGAUGGCAAGAUAAUGGCAGUUGAAUGUGGCUUCACUUCGGUGGAGUGUUAUAGCUUCUGCUGAUAUUGCCUGUCUGGAUCGAGGGCUGCGUCUUUUGACUAGGAUGCUGGCGUAAUGAUCUAAUGCCGCCCGUCUUGGCCCGCAAC
rnacentral:rRNA from 1 species